AAUUAUUAUUCUAUUCUGUCUUCGUAUACCUAUAUAAAGCUUAUGUUCACAUAAACACUGUUUAGUUUCAAAUGAUGUUUGAAUUAUUCUGAUUAAUGAUUAUUGCGUUUUAUUUUUAUAUAUUACAAGUAUAUAUUAUUAUAUUCAAGAUGUUUAAUCACGAAUGGCAGAAGGUCGACAAUUAGUUAUCAAAAAAAGAGGCCCCUCUGUGUACAACAGCUAAUAUGUUCAACCCAGCGUAUUCCAGACUAAGAGGCCGUAGUGUUCAUGUAGAGAACGCAGCAAAACACCUUGCAGUACACGGUAGUCAGAUGCACAUCGCCGGACAUCACCAGUACACACGCAAUUUAAUGGAUCCAGCUGGCGUGAAUCCAAAGAAUGAAAAAAAAAAGAAAAAUGAAGAAUAACGACAAUAAUGAUAAGAUGCUACCGUACACGUUGUAUAAAUCCAGUAAAACGAUCACAAGAGAUAAACGAAAAAUGCAAUAAGAAAAACAGUUAUUAAAUAAUUAUGUUACACAAAAAUGUCAUCAAUGUACAAACAUUAUUAAUAAACGUAAACAGUAUCGACAAGCCAAAGGUAUCGAGCGUGUGGUACGUACUUAUACUUAGAUAAUUUUCUUCUUACUGAGUAAAAUUUUAGAAAACGAAAUAUUUUGUUUGGUUAAGAGGUAAUUUUUAAAUUUAAAAAUAAAAUAAUAAUAAAAUAGU